UGUAAGAAAGUGAAGAAGGUGUGAGUUUUCAGAAGUAGGCUAUAAAGUCAAGAAAAAAUUAUGGCUGUGUCAUUCACUUGUGAGAAGCUAGACAUUUCAAAGUAAAUCAUUUCAUGAACACUGAACAUAAAUAUGAUGUUCAAUAUGCUGAUCAUUCGAAAAGGAUACAAUGGUGAUAAUUAAAGAGACAGAUCCAUGGCAUGUGCUUAUCUUUGGCCAGCAUAUAAAAUGUUUGAGACAAUUGGUUCAUAUCAUGCAAGGGGCAUUAUGGUUUGAAGAAGGUUGGCAACUCCUUUGUAGAACAAAGAAGGGAAGGAAAGAGAGCUAGAAAGAGAGGAGUGUAGUUCACAGCUUAAAAAAAAAUUAUAUGACAAAGCUUGAACACAUGCAUGUUUAAAUUACAUACAUUAAUAUUGUUUACAUGAGGCUACAAAUGCUCCAAAAGAAAUAAAAGCUCAAAAAGAUCAACUUUUCUGAGUUUUUACUGUAACUUGGUCCGGAAAUAUC